GCAUGCUUUGCAUAGCUUAGGACACACGCAACUUUUGGCCUGUAAAGUGAUACACGGUAUAGGGGGAAAAUAGAAGAAGAAGAAGAACGAAGAUGGAUUCUGAGAUAUAAAAAAUUGAAAAACACUGUUGAUUUUUGUUAAAUGUUGUGACCGUGGGAUGCAUGUCAGCUUUCUUGUCCAUUAAAUCUUGGUUGCAUUUUAUAUCCGUCAUAGUGUAAGAAAAAUUUUUAAUUUAGCCGAGUGAAAUGGAAAAGAUCAGUUUUCUGGAGUUGUAUACAAUGCAGUUUUAUGUGCUCUCAUAGAAAUUGGAUCGUUUGUUACUUGUAAUCCAGCGAACGGACAAUUACUUUGGACACCAUGUGUGGUGAGUUCCGGGAUUGAGUGUGAGAUCAAUAACUGCUUGUGCGAUGCUCAUGGUCAUGGAGACGAUGUUUGUUCAGAAAUCAUCAAGCCGAUCAACAAACGACCUCCUUAGCGUGCUUGCUGUUUGAUGCAUCUCUUAAGCCUGCAAGUUCUCUUCAUUCAUGUGGGAUGUGGUUCAUUCAAAAUCACUUCAAGCAUGUCAACUAUGGAAGGAGGUUUCUUCGCUAUCCAUGCUACAAAAGCACAGGCAAACACGAACCACUACCAGAUCUCUUCAAUUCAGCGUUAUAAUAUUCAGCAAGAACAAAGCACAAUCAAGCACAACCAAAAACUGGGAAACACUUUUGAGCCAACAACCAAUUUACUGAAGCCCUCCUCUUCCUCCCUCAAUGAAACAAAUAGCAUUGCACUAGACUUGGAGAGCGCAAAGUGUAGGUCGGCCAAAUGUUUGAAGCAUCCGGACCCAAAUCCACAUAGAUGACGACUGAGGAUCCAAUUCUAUCUCUGUUAACCAGCUCAAUUGUUUCUGACUGUGUUAAUGGUCUAGUGGUUAACGGGCUAAACAUGUAAAAAUGUAAGGACCCAAUUUUGACAAAUAAAAAUUAUAAGGACUUGAUUCAAAACGGAAGCAAAGUAUAAUGUUUAGAUGAUAUGUUUUCCCUUAUUACUAUUAUGUGAAAACUAUGAGCUA